rnacentral:rRNA from 1 species
GUAACACGUAGUCAACAUGCCCAGGGGACGUGGAUAACCUCGGGAAACUGAGGAUAAACCGCGAUAGGUCACUACUUCUGGAAUGGGUAAUGACUCAAACUAUAUGGCCCCUGGAUUGGACUGCGGCCGAUCAGGCUGUUGGUGAGGUAAUGGCCCACCAAACCUGUAACCGGUACGGGCUCUGAGAGGAGGAGCCCGGAGAUGGGCACUGAGACAAGGGCCCAGGCCCUAUGGGGCGCAGCAGGCGCGAAACCUCUGCAAUAGGCGAAAGCCUGACAGGGUUACUCUGAGUGAUCUCCGUUAAGGAGAUCUUUUGGCACCUCUAAAAAUGGUGCAGAAUAAGGGGUGGGCAAGUCUGGUGUCAGCCGCCGCGGUAAUACCAGCACCCCGAGUGGUCGGGACGUUUAUUGGGCCUAAAGCAUCCGUAGCCGGUUCUACAAGUCUUCCGUUAAAUCCAGCUGCUUAACAGAUGGGCUGCGGAAGAUACUAUGGAGCU